GUGAGGAAUAUUGCACAAUGGGGGAAACCCUGAUGCAGCAACGCCGCGUGGAGGAUGACGCAUUUCGGUGUGUAAACUCCUUUUAUAUGUCAAGAAAAUGACGGUAGCAUAUGAAUAAGCACCGGCUAACUCCGUGCCAGCAGCCGCGGUAAUACGGAGGGUGCAAGCGUUACUCGGAAUCACUGGGCGUAAAGGACGCGUAGGCUGGCUGACAAGUCAGAUGUGAAAUCCUAUGGCUUAACCAUAGAACUGCAUUUGAAACUGUCAGUCUAGAGUAUGGGAGGGGGAGAUGGAAUUAGUGGUGUAGGGGUAAAAUCCGUAGAUAUCACUAGGAAUACCUAAAGCGAAGGCGAUCUCCUGGAACAUUACUGACGCUAAGGCGUGAAAGCGUGGGGAGCAAACAGGAUUAGAUACCCCAGUAGUCC
rnacentral:rRNA from 1 species